rnacentral:ncRNA from 1 species
CCGUGGGAGAGAGCAGUUCGAUCUGCCGCCGAAGGCGCAAUUUCACCCGAAAACGCUCAGGCAAAAGGACCACUGAA